rnacentral:lncRNA from 1 species
GAAGCAUGGUGUUGAAGCAAGAAAAGCUGGGCAAGGAGCCUGUGCAAAAUCAAGGCUGUACCACUUCUCAAAGGAACCCAUAAAUGAUUUAGGCCACUGUUCACGAAUGAAAAUGCCUGUGGGGUCCAUGACGUACUGUACAUAUUCCCAUCACUCCAUUUACCGCCCUGCUUGUAUCUGCUGACUUCACUGAACUAUGAGCACCUAGAUGCACAUUUGGAAAUAUACAAGAAGAUGAAGAGAACACUAUUGCCAUUGAGACCUUUGCAGUGUGAUGGUUAUUUAGCUUUUGAAUGGGCUUUUACACAAAAUAGUGCUUUGUGGGAAUUUUCAGGUAUAAGAGAGCAUCUUCCUUACAAAGAAAUCCCCUCUUAACCAACCGAUCAGUCAGUAUUAAAAAAAAAAAAUGAAUGUGUGGGAUAUUGCAGAUUGAAGUGUGCAAAGCAUUUGUGUUUUAAUUAAAAUUUUAGAGGAAAAACUCAUUCACAUGAAUUAAUAGCAAGAUUUUUAGCAGGUUGCAUAAAUGGUGACAAAAUUUACAUCUUUGUAUUCAAGAAGAGUAUGAAGUUACUUGGUGAAGAUCACUACAUAUGUUAAAUUCUUUCAACAUGUGCUAUAAAUAUUAAAGAUCUGUGGCUAUUAAAUUACGUGAGAG